rnacentral:rRNA from 1 species
GACGAACCACACGAACGUUAUUCGGAAUUACUGGGCUUAAAGGGUGCGUAGGCUGUGCGGAAAGUUGGGUGUGAAAUCCCCCGGCUCAACCGGGGAAUUGCGCCCAAAACUACCGUGCUGGAGGAAGACAGAGGUGAGCGGAACUUCGGGUGGAGCGGUGAAAUGCGUUGAUAUCCGAAGGAACACCGGUGGCGAAAGCGGCUCACUGGGUCUUUUCUGACGCUGAUGCACGAAAGCUAGGGGAGCAAACGGG